AAUAGCUAUGAGCGGAGCAGGGUUUGUGGGGGGAACUCAACAAUAAGAAGGACUAAACUAUAAAUACAUACAACGAUUUGAAUGAAUCACAAAAGCAUUUUGUUGAAUGGAAAAAGGCAGUCCAAAAAUGUUUCAUAGUGUUUGAUUCCAUUUGUAAAACAUUCUGGAAUAGGGAAAACUAUAUGGAUGAUAAACAAACCAGCUUUUGCCAGGGGUUAGCAUUGAGGGGUGGGUUUGGCUACAAAGGGGCAGGAUGAGGGGAUUUGGGUGAUUAACUGGCCUGUAUCUUAAUUAUGUUAGUAGGAACAUGAAUCUAUAUCUGUUAAAAUUCAUGUACUGUACACAAAAGCAAAGUUUAUAGUAUGUCAAUUUAAAAAUUAACAAAUAUUUAAAAAUUGAGCCACCGCGCCCGGCCGGGAAAUAAUACUUCUUAGCUAUGGUGUUCCAGUACCAGAUACCACUGGGAGCUUUAUCUCAUUUAAUCCGUACAACCAUCUUAUGAGGUAGGUAUUUCUUAUCAUUCCCAUUUACAUGUAAGAAAACCAAGCCUCAGAGAGAUUGUGUCCAAAGUACACUUUGUACUUGGUUUUGGGACAAGCCUUGGGUUAUGGAACAAGAUAUAAAACAAGGUUGUGUGUCUGCAAAACCCAUUCUCCUCAUUUCAUCAUUUCACACUGCAUCUUUAAAUGUCCACAUCAUAUUAUAAGAAGUCAACAUAUAAAGAAGCGAGACCAAAGAAGCUGAGAAAAUGAAUGGGGUUGGGUGCAGUGGCUCACACCUAUAAUCCCAGCACUUUGGGAGGCCGAGGUGGGAGGAUUACUUGAGCCCAGGAGUUUAAAACCAGCCUGGGCAACAUAGUGGAACAUUGUCUCUACAAAAAAUAAAAAAGUCAGCAGGGCAUUACCUUGCACACCUGUAGUCCCAGCUACUCGAGAGACUGAGGUGGGAGAAUCCCUUAAGUCCACAGGUUUGAGGCUACAGUGAACCAUGAUCAUGCCACCGCAGUCCAGUCUGAGUGACAAGAGUGAGACCCUGUCUCAAAAAUAGAAAAGAAAAGAAAGAAAGAGAGAGAGAGAGAGAGAAAGAAAGAGUGAGAAAAAGAAAGAAAGAAAGAAAGAAAGAAAGAAAAAGAAAGAAAAGGGCAUGACUCAAUCCUUUAGUUUCCUUCUUUAAAAAAUUUUUUAAUGUAAUUUUUUUUAUUUUAGAGACAGGGUCUUGCUAUGUCACCCAGGGUACAGC
rnacentral:lncRNA from 10 species